GCACUAAUGAAGAGUCAAACAAUAGGACGAAACGGUCGUCCAGUGC
rnacentral:hammerhead_ribozyme from 1 species